UAGGAGAAAGUACAGGGACAAUUGCAGGAGCAAGAUGUGGAUCCCCUCAAGGCAAUGAUUUAGGAGGACUCUUCUGUCUUCCUCAGUGCCCAGAAUCAUCCUCAUCAUCAGGCUCAGCUUUUUCUCCAUCUUCUUCCUCUGUGUUGCCCUGUUGGCAUUCCUCUACCAUCCAUCUAGUCCUAUGGGAGCCUUUCUGGGAAACCGACCUAGGAGGUGCCUCUGCUGCCCUUGUCUUCCCCAGACAGUCUCCCCAUCUCAGCCCUUUGAGGCCCCCAGAGAGGAAACCCCAUGUAAGUUAUAGGAUCAGAAAUGGGGCAUGGUCAUGGGGAUGAGGGAGGUGACUGGAGUCUGAGUUGUCUGAGCAGAAAAUAGGUCCUACUCUUGGGAUCUAAAUGA
rnacentral:lncRNA from 1 species